rnacentral:rRNA from 1 species
UUAAACGUCCAUACCACGUUCAAUAACACUGGUUCUCGUCCGAUUAGCGAAGUUAAGCAACGUCGGGCGCGGUCAGUACUCGGAUGCGUGACCGCCUGGGAAUACCACGUGACGUUGAAU